UUGUUAUCAUCGGGGUUGAUCAUCUAGAAUUUUUCAUCCUUGACCAUGCAGUUUGAAAACCAGGGUUAGUCUUGCACUCUUCAAGGCAUACUUCUUGGAGCCUGCAUAUUUUAUAUAGUUCUCAACUAUCUAAGUACUUCAGUCUUAUGGGACAGGGACCUUGUCCCAUGAUCCUAGCUAUCAGCAACCACACAUCUUUGAAUUUACCAUCCCAAGGCAUGCACAAGGACAUACAAGCUCUCCUCG
rnacentral:lncRNA from 1 species